AAACUAUCAACGUGGACGAACGGAAUCAUUCCGUUUUCCAGAGUUUAGACAUUCUGCACAACAACAACAACAACAACAACAUCGAUAUUGGCAAUAACAGGUUUUACAUAGAUUUAUUGAUAUAUCAGAUUGCUGGAGACACUUCAACAUCACUUACAUUGGCAAGUUGUGGCAUAUCUCGAAAAUAUGAUGUAUAGAAUCGUGUUGCAAUGCCAGAAGCAAAACUGAUAGAGGAUUAAAUGACAGUUCAUCAAUAGUGUUAGAAGGGGUUAAGUAGACAAUAUAUAUUUCAUACUGUGUGACAUAUUCCAGUGCUAGGAUUCAUUGGUCAGGAACAGUAGAUGUGACAGAAUAUUUGAGGCAACAUUGGAACAGUUUAGAAGAGGUCAGAGAGUUUGGGAGUAAAGAAUAGCCACUGGAGCACCUGUUCAGG